UGCGAAUGGCUCAUUAAAUCAGUUAUCGUUUAUUUGAUAAUACCUUACUACUUGGAUAACCGUGGUAAUUCUAGAGCUAAUACAUGCUAAAAACCCCGACUUCGGGAGGGGUGUAUUUAUUAGAUAAAAAACCAAUGCCCUCCGGGGCUCCUUGGUGAUUCAUAAUAACUUCUCAGAUCGCAUGGCUCCAUGCCGGCGACGGUUCAUUCAAAUUUCUGCCCUAUCAACUUUCGAUGGUAAGGUAGUGGCUUACCAUGGUUUCAACGGGUAACGGGGAAKUAGGGUUCSAUKYYKSARMGGGWRMCGAGAAACGGCUACCACAUCCAAGGAAGGCAGCAGGCGCGCAAAUUACCCAAUUCCGACACGGAGAGGUAGUGACAAUAAAUACUGAUACAGGGCUCUUUUGGGUCUUGUAAUUGGAAUGAGUACAAUUUAAACCUCUUAACGAGGAACAAUUGGAGGGCAAGUCUGGUGCCAGCAGCCGCGGUAAUUCCAGCUCCAAUAGCGUAUAUUAAAGUUGUUGCAGUUAAAAAGCUCGUAGUUGAACCUUUGGCCUGGCUGGCAGGUCCGCCUCACCGCGUGCACUUGUCCGGCCGGGCCUUCUCUUCUGGAGAACCGCAUGCCCUUCACUGGGUGUGUUGGGGACCAGGACUUUUACUUUGAAAAAAUUAGAGUGUUCAAAGCARRCCUUUGCUCGAAUACGUUAGCAUGGAAUAAUAGAAUAGGACGUGCGGUCCUAUUUUGUUGGUUUCUAGGACCGCCGUAAUGAUUAAUAGGGACAGUCGGGGGCAUCAGUAUUCAAUUGUCAGAGGUGAAAUUCUUGGAUUUAUUGAAGACUAACUACUGCGAAAGCAUUUGCCAAGGAUGUUUUCAUUAAUCAGUGAACGAAAGUUAGGGGAUCGAAGACGAUCAGAUACCGUCGUAGUCUUAACCAUAAACUAUGCCGACUAGGGAUCGGGCGGUGUUUCUAUUGUGACCCGCUCGGCACCUUACGAGAAAUCAAAGUG
rnacentral:rRNA from 1 species